CUCUCAAAGUAGACGAUUUGGUGCUGAUCGUUAACGAAGGACAAAGGAAUGGUUGGACAAGAGGACGAGUACUGACGGUGAUCCCCGGCCGCGACGGCCGCAUUCGACAGGCGACAGUGCAAACGGCGGCAGGGAUACUGAAACGACCAGUAGCUAAAUUGGCAGUGCUGAACGUCCAGGACAGCUGUAACGCAACAGUACCAGCGGAACCGGAAAGGCGUUACGGGUCGGGGGAUGUGGACGGAAGCAACAUCAUCGACGGUACAACAUCGCGUGAGGGUCCCUCGUCAAACAGCAAACACAUCUACACCACCGGGGUAGCUGAGCGAAGUCUACGUCGAUCGGGCCGUCUAGCUAGUGCCAACCAGAAGAAGAGGAAGAAUUAAGCGAAACCAGUAGGGAUUGUACGCAGUGCGAUUUGCAGAACGCCACCUUUUUGUUUAAAACGACUUAAACAUAACAAUUAGUAGUUUUAAAACAUUGCGCUGAACGAUACUCCGUGUACGACCGAAGCGAGUGGUUCUAGACCGUGGUCGCGAGAACCACACAGCUACUUCGGUUCCGAGCAGAACCUGGCAAGUGUCCAAACGGCCAAGGAGGCCAAAAAGAUCCCCAGAACACGCGUAAGCAAUUAGGCUGGGCAAAACUGGUCGUCAUCGAACAUCGUUGUCGUGUUUAAUGAGCAAUCGGAUUGAGGGAAAACUAAUUCUUUGAGCUGCGCUACACAAAACAGCUGCUGCAAAGAGUUUCACCCAAAUCUACAACGUGGUAAGGAUUGAACAGCAACGAUAGCUUUAUGCGACGACUCGAUGCGCAGGAUUCAGUUUGUUCUAGAUUUUGUUUAACUGAACUGAUUUGUCUUUAUCAAUUUUAGCUGGAUGAAGGCUCUGAACAUUUUUUUAUUUUUUUU